rnacentral:lncRNA from 1 species
CGCGGAUCGAACUCAGGACCUUUCGCUUGCAGUGCAGGCGGCGGAACCACUGAGCUAAAUCCCUGGGGCAACGCCCAGCUUUUUGAGAGUGGUUCUCUCUCUUGCCCAGGUUGGCCUUUCCUGACCUCAAGCAAUCCUCUAGCCACAGCCUCCAGUCAUACCCGUGUAUGGUGGAGGCAAGGGAAGAACCCAGCUCGCUGUUGCGGUGACCGUGACAUGCAGGGCCCUGGUUUGGGGAUGGACACUCCGGGGCACAGGCCGAGCUAUGGGCCAGGGUGCUGUGCCUCUCCUACCCACUCGCUCACGUGGGCCUGGCAGACGGAGCCACUAUACUCCCUAGAGACAAUGCCAAGUGCUUCCUGGGGGACGCUUACCAAGGGUUCCUGUUCCUGCAGGUCUGGCACCCCAGAUCACUGAGCAGGAUGGGGUGACAGGCCCUGGGCAGGUGGAGCAGAGAUGUGUGCCCCUCCUCCAUCAUGGGGUUGAGCAGCAGGGAACCUGGCUUUGUGGCUG